GACGAACGCUGGCGGCGUGCUUAACACAUGCAAGUCGAACGGAAAGGCCUCAGCUUGCUGGGGUACUCGAGUGGCGAACGGGUGAGUAACACGUGGGUGAUCUGCCUUGCACUUCGGGAUAAGCUUGGGAAACUGGGUCUAAUACCGGAUAGGACAGCUGUUUAGUGUCAGUUGUGGAAAGUUUUUUCGGUGCAAGAUGAGCUCGCGGCCUAUCAGCUUGUUGGUGGGGUAAUGGCCUACCAAGGCGUCGACGGGUAGCCGGCCUGAGAGGGUGGACGGCCACAUUGGGACUGAGAUACGGCCCAGACUCCUACGGGAGGCAGCAGUGGGGAAUAUUGCACAAUGGGCGCAAGCCUGAUGCAGCGACGCCGCGUGAGGGAUGACGGCCUCGGUUGUAA
rnacentral:rRNA from 1 species